AGUGAACGCUGGCGGUAGGCCUAACACAUGCAAGUCGAACGGCAGCACAGUAAGAGCUUGCUCUUACGGGUGGCGAGUGGCGGACGGGUGAGGAAUACAUCGGAAUCUACUUUUUCGUGGGGGAUAACGUAGGGAAACUUACGCUAAUACCGCAUACGACCUACGGGUGAAAGCAGGGGAUCUUCGGACCUUGCGCGAUUGAAUGAGCCGAUGUCGGAUUAGCUAGUUGGCGGGGUAAAGACCCACCAAGGCGACGAUCCGUAGCUGGUCUGAGAGGAUGGUCAGCCACCCUGGAACUUGACCACGGUCCAGACUCCUACGGGAGGCAGCAGUGUGGAAUGUUGGGCAAUAGGCGCAAGCCUGAUCCAGCCAUCCCGCGUGGGUGAAGAAGGCCUUCGGGUUGUAAAGCCCUUUUGUUGGGAAAGAACAGCAGCAGGUUAAUACCCCGCUGUUCUGACGGUACCCAAAGAAUAAGCACCGGCUAACUUCGUG
rnacentral:rRNA from 1 species